CGCAAUUUCUAUUUUUAAACAAGGGAAAUAAUAUUUACAUGACAAUCCUGUCUUCCAAAUGCAUUUUAAACAUUUUGUUUUUAUCAACAAUAACUAUUUAAAAAAAAAAAAAACACAUUCACACACUGAAGAUAACAUGUAUUUUAGUUGCAACAACUUUAUUAUGGAUAAAGAACUGCCAACCUGUACCAGAAACAACUUAUGGUUUGGAACAAACUAUACACUAUGAACGACAACUCGACCUAGAAUGUUACUCACAUUUGUUGAUAAUGUAAACAA
rnacentral:lncRNA from 1 species